UUCCACACAGAGGUACUGUUCCAUACAGAGGUACUGUUCCAUACAGAGGUACUGUUCCACACAGAGGUACUGUUCCCUCAUUUAGAUAGCCCACACACACAGAGGUACUGUUCCACACAGAGGUACUGUUCCAUACAGAGGUACUGUUCCAUACAGAGGUACUGUUCCCUCAUUUAGAUAGCCCACACACAGAGGUACUGUUCCAUACAGAGGUACUGUUCCCUCAUUUAGAUAGCCCACACACAGGUACUGUUCCAUACAGAGGUACUGUUCCCUCAUUUAGAUAGCCCACACACACAGAGGUACUGUUCCACACAGAGGUACUGUUCCAUACAGAGGUACUGUUCCAUACAGAGGUACUGUUCCAUACAGAGGUACUGUUCCCUCAUUUAGAUAGCCCACACACAGAGGUACUGUUCCACACAGAGGUACUGUUCCCUCAUUUAGAUAGCCCACACACAGAGGUACUGUUCCACACAGAGGUACUGUUCCCUCAUUUAGAUAGCCCACACACAGAGGUACUGUUCCCUCAUUUAGAUAGCUGCGAUACAGAGGUACUGUUCCCUCAUUUAGUUAUAUUUUUUAUCAUGGAUGAUGUUGUGUUUUUAUGCUAGCUGGGUCCUGAAUGUGGAGUAGGUCAAAUGUUGGUUGUUUCAGGGAAUCAAUCUUUCCGGUCAAUCCCAUCCGUGCCCGUGGCAAUUUCAUCUUAAUGUUGCGGACUAAACGGAGUGGGAAAUGCCCACUUCUGCAUUUCAAUCUUUGUCUUUACAAUGCUCGCUUGCUUGUUGUUACACAUAAGAAAGCUUUAAAGGAUGAUGUAUAAUGUAUUAUGCAUUCGUUACAAGUUCCCUUCACCUAGAACAGUUUCCACUGUGUUCAAAGAAGUAUUUUACAAUACCAGGCUGCCCUGGAAAUGUAUCC